rnacentral:rRNA from 1 species
UAGGGAAUCUUCCGCAAUGGACGCAAGUCUGACGGAGCAACGCCGCGUGAGUGAAGAAGGAUUUCGGUUCGUAAAACUCUGUUGUUAGAGAAGUACAGCGCAUAGAGUAACUGUUAUGCGUGUGACGGUAUCUAACCAGAAAGCCACGGCUAACUACGUGCCAGCAGCCGCGGUAAUACGUAGGUGGCAAGCGUUGUCCGGAUUUAUUGGGCGUAAAGCGAGCGCAGGCGGUCAAUUAAGUCUGAUGUGAAAGCCCCCGGCUCAACCGGGGAGGGUCAGUGGAAACUGGUUGACUUGAGUGCAGAAGAGGAGAGUGGAAUUCCAUGUGUAGCGGUGAAAUGCGUAGAUAUAUGGAGGAACACCAGUGGCGAAGGCGACUCUCUGGUCUGUAACUGACGCGGAGGCUCGAAAGCGUGGGUAGCAAACAGG